AGCAGUCGCCGCGGGAAUACGUAGGUGGCAAGCGUUGUCCGGAAUCAUUGGGCGUAAAGCGCGCGCAGGUGGUUUAAUAAGUCUGAUGUGAAAGCCCACGGCUCAACCGUGGAGGGUCAUUGGAAACUGUUAAACUUGAGUGCAGGAGAGAAAAGUGGAAUUCCUAGUGUAGCGGUGAAAUGCGUAGAGAUUAGGAGGAACACAGUGGCGAAGGCGGCUUUUUGGCCUGUAACUGACACUGAGGCGCGAAAGCGUGGGGAGCAAACAGGAUUAGAUACCCCUGUAGUCCCUGUCUCUUAUACA
rnacentral:rRNA from 1 species